rnacentral:rRNA from 1 species
GCUCAACGGAUAAAAGGUACUCCGGGGAUAACAGGCUGAUACCGCCCAAGAGUUCAUAUCGACGGCGGUGUUUGGCACCUCGAUGUCGGCUCAUCACAUCCUGGGGCUGAAGUAGGUCCCAAGGGUAUGGCUGUUCGCCAUUUAAAGUGGUACGCGAGCUGGGUUUAGAACGUCGUGAGACAGUUCGGUCCCUAUCUGCCGUGGGCGCUGGAGAAYUGAGGGGGGCUGCUCCUAGUACGAGAGGACCGGAGUGGACGCAUCACUGGUGUUCGGGUUGUCAUGCCAAUGGCACUGCCCGGUAGCUAAAUGCGGAAGAGAUAAGUGCUGAAAGCAUCUAAGCACGAAACUUGCCCCGAGAUGAGUUCUCCCUGACUCCUUGAGAGUCCUGAAGGAACGUUGAAGACGACGACGUUGAUAGGCCGGGUGUGUAAGCGCAGCGAUGCGUUGAGCUAACCGGUACUAAUGAACCGUGAGGCUUAACCUUACAACGCCGAAGCUGUU